rnacentral:rRNA from 1 species
UUGGGGGAUAACGUCCGAAACGGGCUAAUACCGCAUACGUCCUGAGGAGAAAGUGGGGACUGACCUCACGCUAUCAGAUGAGCCUAGGUCGGAUUAGCUAGUUGGUGGGGUAAAGGCCUACCAAGGCGAUCCGUAACUGGUCUGAAGGAUGAUCAGUCACACUGGAACUGAGACACGGUCCAGACUCCACGGAGGCAGCAGUGGGGAAUAUUGGACAAUGGGCGAAAGCCUGAUCCACAUGCCGUGUGAAGAAGGUCUUCGGAUUGUAGCACUUUAAGUUGGAGAAGGCAGUAAGUUAAUACCUUGCUGUUUUGACGUUACCAACAGAAUAAGCACCACAACUUCAGCCAGCAGCCGCGGUAAUACGAGGUGCAAGCGUUAAUCGGAAUUACUGGGCGUAAAGCGCGUGGUUCAGCAAGUUGAUGUGAAAUCCCCGGGCUCAACCUGGGAACCGCAUCCAAACUGAGCUAGAGUACGGUAGAGGUGGUGAAUUUCUGUGUAGCGGUGAAAUGCGCAGAUAUAGAAGGAACACCAGUGAAGGCGACUGAUACCGAGGUGCGAAAGCGUGGAGCGCGAUGAUACCUGGUAGUCCACAAACGAUGUCGACUAGCCGUUGGGAUCCUGGAGAUCUAGUGGCGCAGUUGAACGCGAUAAGUCGACCUGGGUACGGCUGCAAGGUUAAACUCAAAUGAAUUGACGGGGCCCGCACAAGCGGUGGAGUGGUCUAAUUCGAAGCAACGCGAAGAACUCACCUGGCCUUGACAUGGAGAACUUUCAGAUGAUUGGUGCCUUCGGGAACUCAGACACAGGUGCUGCAUGGCUGUCGUCAGCUCGUGUCGAGAUGCGUUGCUCAACGAGCGCAACCUUGUCCUAGUUACCAGCACCUCGGUGGGCACCUAAGGAGACUGCGAAACCGGAGGAAGGUGGGACGUCAUCAUGGCCCUACGGCCAGGGCUUCGCACGUGCCAAUGGUCGGUACAAAGGCUGCUGGCCGCGAGGUGGAGCUAUCCCAUAAACCGAUCGUAGUCCGGAUCGCAGUCUGCAACUCGACUGCGUGAAGUCGGAAUCGCUAGUAAUCGUGAAUCAGAAUGUCACGGUGAAUACGUUCCGGGUCCACAACGCUACCGCCGUCACACCAUGGGAGUGGGCUCCAGAAGUAGCUAGUCAACCGCAAGGACGGUUACCACGGAGUGAUUCAUGACUGGGUGAAGUCGAAAUGCUGUAGGGGAACCUGCGGCUG